rnacentral:rRNA from 1 species
UACGUAGGGGGCAAGCGUUGUCCGGAAUCAUUGGGCGUAAAGCGCGUGUAGGCGGCCCGAUAAGUCCGCCGUGAAAGCCCAGGGCUCAACCCUGGGAUGCCGGUGGAAACUGUCGGGCUAGAGUCCGGAAGAGGCGAGUGGAAUUCCUAGUGUAGAGGUGAAAUUCGUAGAUAUUAGGAAGAACACCAGUGGCGAAGGCGGCUCACUGGUCCGGUACUGACGCUGAGGUGGCGAAAGCGGUGGGGAGCAAACAGG